GCUUAUCACCAUUCCAGAUUGAAUAUACCCGAUCUCGUCUGAUCUCGGAAGUCAAGCAAUCUCGGGCUUGGUUAGUACUUGGAUGGGUGACCGCUCUGGGGAAUACCCAAGUGUGACUAAGCA
rnacentral:rRNA from 1 species